GAUGGAAAGUUAAACAAAUUGAACAGGAAACAUGCUCAGCGCAGUUUCGGUUUAAAAACAGAACCUACACAACUGCAACAAACCAUUUCAGGUCAAGCCAUCAACGCCAGAGCACCUUGACUCCAUCACACUGAACAAAACAUGCAGAAACGUCUGGCGAUUUUACUUGUCCUUGCGCUGGUAGUCGCCGUUGCUAACUUUCCAACAGCACAAGGGUUUUCAGGCGGAACUGGAACCUGGAAAAGAGCUUUGCAGGUGAUGAAGGAAAAAAGAAGCAUGUGUCAUGCGAUGAGAGAAUACUGCAAACGAGAGUUUAUGGAAGACGAAGAAGCGCCCGCGCCUUUGAAGGAGUAAAAUCAUGUCCAGCGGCUGACUUGUUACGUCAUGUAAUACAUAUACAACUGAACAGCAAACUUUUCCAAAAGCACAGAUGAAGAUAUCUGAUUUAACUGUAAAGUUUGGCACAUGUAAUAAAAGAAAAUAAGCACUGAGACAGUC